GCCGACGUAGCUCAGUUGGUAGAGCAACUGAUUCGUAAUCAGUAGGUCGGGGGUUCGAUUCCCUUCGUCGGCA
rnacentral:tRNA from 1 species